GAAUCAUGUUCUCUAUAGUGGUUUCGUUAACUUUUUCCUUGUAUCUAGAUAAUGGGAUCCGAACCCGAUCUAAACCGAAAUAUUUUGGGUAUUCAAAUAUAUCCAAAUCAGAUUUAUAUAGUUGAAUAUAUAUUAGCUAAUUUUAGAGUUAAUAUCCAAAAAAAUAUCCAAAAUGUAGAAGAUAUAUUUUAAAUUGUCAAAAACAUUUGAAAAUAUAUAUAAAUAGUCAAAAGUAAAUAUUUAAAAUAGUUAAACAAUGCCCAAACAUCAAAAAUACUUAAAAUAUAUAUUGAUUCUUCAUCCAAAUAUUCAAGUCAAACUAACUUUUAUAUUCAAUUUAGGUAUUUGGAAUAUAUUGCUCAAAUCUAUAUGUUAUAUAUAUAUUAUUAUUUUUUGAUUUUGAGAAAUUUAAAAUAUUUAUGAUUUUUUUAAAAUAAAAUAAUUUAAACGAGUUAUCUGAGACUGAACCGAACCCGCAAAGAUCCGAACCGAAAUUUAUAAAUAUCCGAAUGGGCUGAAAAAUUUAACUCCGAAAACCCCAAAAUCCGAAUAGACUCGAACCGAACGCGUACCCCGAACGUCCAUCCCUAAAAAUACUUAUUAAUCGAAGAUUUUCUAGAGAAUCUUUUCAAACAAAACUGAUGUUGUGACAUGUCGGUAUUGUUUUUUGUGAUAGAGAAGAGAACGAUCAUUAUUUUUAACAAGAAAACAAGUUAAUAUUUGGCACAUUCUAUAUUAAGACGAGUUUCUACAGGGGCAUCACAUGUGAUAUAGGUGAAAUCAUACAGUACUAGUACUACAAAGUUGUAAUGAAAACUCAUACGAAGUCAUGUUUGGUACUUUUGUUUCCUUGUGAUAAUUGAAAUUCCUGUUUGUGCUUAUUUUCGCAAUGUAUGGUACAAUGACAAGGAUGUGGUGGAACAUAUAUUACAUUAGCAUAGUGGAAAAUAGGGUGGUUCUCCAAUAAUCACUUUCGGUUAUGCUUUAGGUUUAUUCCUCUUUAAUUAGUAAUUAAUUACACACCAUUGACGCCUCUUUUGUUUGGUUAAGGGUCUAACGACGUCAAGUGUGGGGUGUAACGGUGAGAGAAUCUAAAAUUUGUGGAUGAGAAUACCAGUUUUAUCUCUUUCUCUGUUCCUCUGUCUCUCCCCCACACAAUUUUGAACUCAAACUCAAGAAGAAAGACAAGAAUGAGAAAGUUUCUUUGACUUAGACACAAGAAUCAAUCUGUUUACGUGACGCACAAACAAUGAUCUUAACAAUGAAACUUCUUCACCCUCUCUCUUCCUUCACUACUCUUCCACCAAAAACAAGGCAAUCUAAACUUUACCUUGUCGGACAGUCAGAGAAAGGGAAUGUUCUGAAAGGACUUGACCUCGGCGUUGAGGGGAUGCGUGUUGGUGAAAAUGAAAGACUUUACAUAAACUCAAAAGUAUGUUUUGAUAGACAAGUUGAGAGUGUUUUGAUAUACAGAGAUUGGUGAUUGUUCCUCCUGAGCUUGCUCAUGGGAAGAAAGGAGUGCAAGAGAUUCCUCCAAAUGCAACAAUCGAGGGGACCAAACUAUGUUGUUAAAACUUGAAUCAGUUCAGAGUUUUGUCUGCUCCUAAAGUGGUGUUCAUGUUUUGGUAGUUGGUACCUAGCUUGACAUUUAGCUCAAUUCAAUCAAGCAGAGUCCUUUCAGGUAUGUGAGAUCAAUUGUCUAAAACUUCUGUAAACUCAUGUCAACAAAACAUUUCUUGUAGGUAAAGUCUUCUCGGUUUUAUUCUCAAAGCUAUUGAAGAUUCAACUGUAUCAGAAGAAUCUAUUUAAUUGAUUCAAAAAGAACUUUUCAUCUCUAUUCAUACACUCUUGUGCUCCGCAAAAAAAACUACAAUUACCAAGUGAUGGUCACCUAAAAUUAUAUUCAGCCAUAAGAAACACCUGAGGACCGCGUAGAAACUUCAUAUCCAAGCAUUCCAGAAGUUUUGAGCUGAUAUGGUGAUUAUAAUCCUCAACUCAUAAGGCAAAUGUUCUUCUUUAUGAUGAGACAAAGCAGAGGCAUAAUCAUAAGAACAACUAAAAGUACCUACUUGGGGAACAUGAUGUUUAUUCUCUUUAGCCCAAA